rnacentral:lncRNA from 1 species
AAAGCUUCAACAACUGGGAGACUUGAAGACAGAUGCACAAGACUUGCACUCGAACUGCUACAUAUAUGGACAAUCAAGAAAAAUGCUCUACGGUGAAGAGCACAAAGUCCUGGAGGUUUGUUCAUCCAGCAGUCUUCACCUCUGCUGUGCCUUGACCCUGUGCCUGGUGUUAGGAGCUGAGGACAGGAAAAGAGCAGGACCCUCCCAGAACUCAUGUUUGGUGUCUGGCUGAGAGCCAGAACAUGCCACUACUUUGUUAUACUGCUCUCCUACACAGAUUUCUAUAUUCCAUCAUUCUUCUCAAAUGAAACUUGGACCUGCUUCUUUCCUUUUGAAUGCUGAAGGCUCCGUCUCCAAGUUCCCUUGCUGGAAGGCAUAUUAUGAAACGGGAUGUACCAUCAGAGACGAAGAGUUCGUCUAAUCCACGCAGAGAACAGCGGUGGAGGAGCGCCCACUCACUAUCUGGCAUCUGAUAGUCGUAAAAGGAGAGGAAAUUGAAUUUCGCAGUGGUUACAGAAGCUAUUUCAGAAUGACAUAGCUAUAAACUUCUCACUUGUAGCUGUGGAUAAUUUCUGAAUAGCCAAAGUGAUUGGUCAUCAUUACCAGACCUACAUAGUAUGUCCAAACUUGUGUUCUGGGGUCCACUGAUCCUGAAGUUCCCUCACAGUCCAGAAACCAAGACAAGACAAAUGAAGUGUACCUGACACAGGAAAUGAGGGUAGUCAUUUGGGUGAUAGAGCACCAGCUCCCCAUAAAAUGCUUGGAGUGAGGUGGGCAGUGAAACAUAAGGCGCCAGUCACAGUGCUCGUAUCUGACUUCAUGCUGGGUAAGUAGACACCAAACAAUAGGUAAGUAGAGAGGACUCCACAGUCAGUACACAAAUAUGCCUCAUAGCCAGGCUGGGUCACCCUGUGCAUACCUGUUAGCUCAUCAGAAUGGAAUUCCCAAUGGUAAACUGCGCUUGAAUGCUUUUCCCCAUGCUAGUGACCCCAUACUGGAACAGUACUUCACAAAUUUAUAAAAUAGGAGAAUUCACAGAAUAUUCUAUAGCAGGUAAAGACAAAAACCAUUAAGUGGAAAAAUAGUAAUGAUUCAUUAUGUACAUGUGUGGCAAGCAACUACUAUAAUUUAUUUGCAUUAUAUUUGUCCAUAAUAUGACAAGUCAUGACAUAUAAGAGAUUGAAAAGUGCUGAGACUACUGUAGGUUGUCCUCACAUAAAGUCUGAAGGAAGAGAAGGGCUGGGGGUGGGGGGUACGGAGGGACUUAUAUGUUAAGGUUAAAUUAAUUAAAAGUACACAUAGUUUCAGGAAUCUGUAAGGUCUUUAAUUGACUAAAAUGCAUGUGAUGCUCCAAAAAUAGAAAUAGUACAAAGCUACUGUGCAAACCUUUUUGACCAUAGAAUAUCAUCUAAGGAAUUCACUUUGGAAACUGCUUCAGUAAAGUAAUCCUUCUCUAGUUACUUUUUUCCACGUAGGAGAGAGACAAUACACUCGUCUUUCUCACCGACUUCAUUGGGUGUGUGAUAUAGAAGGGUUUUAUCUUCACACAAUGUUUCAGUACUUCCCUAUCUGAUGAUACGGUUGUCCUCCCACUGGCUUUUUCUUGUAUUUAUGGGAAGUGAUAAACUUGAUAAAGCUCAAACUACUAACAAGUAUCAGGGGUUUUCAUCAACCAAACUAAGUACUACAGCCUUUGCAAAAUGACCUCCCAGAACUCACAGGUAGUCUGUUACUGGAGCUAUUAAUACUGAGCCAGGAGUACACUUUGUCAUUGUUUUCUGUGUAUUUUCUUUCCCAAAAGGAAACAACUGGGCUCAAAGAAAUGAAUAGAGAAAUGUAUAGAAAUAUCUUAAAAAUUGCAUCUCCAUAGUUUUGCAAAUAAAUGAAGAAUGAGUAUAUAAUUUAUCUAUGUAUGCUUCCAUGCUUAUCACAGUUAACUGUCAUUCUAUAUGGCACUCUUGGUUUUCUUUGAAAAUAAUGGAAUAUAAAUACUCAGAGAAACUGGCCCAUAGAGGAAGUUAGGUUGUAAUGAGGACUAAAUUGAUUAAGAACUUGGCUAGGAGUUAUGUGGUCUUCUUCACCUUUUCUAAGUUGCCAGGUAGGCUUUUAUUUUGCAGUAUUGAGACCUCCAGCCAUAUGAGCAAAAAAUUCAAAUGAAGUCUAUCUGCCAAAAGAAAUAGAACUGAGCAUUUAUUCUCUGUUCCUGCUUCCACUUGGAAGAUGCCUUUUCCCCUAAGAACACGUUUAAAAGGAUAUAAAAGUGGCUUUCUAUUUUUGGCCAGAAGCAGAAAAUGAAAGACAAUGGAGAAAAAUAUUAGCUCAGCUUUUCCAGGCUUGAAAUAAUGUGUGAGUUUUGCUGUUUUUCCAACUUUUGAGAACAAGUCUGGUAGAAUGCUUAAUUCAUUCAGCUCGUGAAUCACCUUUCCUUUGUGGGAAUAUUAAUACCAAGCUAAAAUUUCUCCAUAUGAGGAAAGAAAAAACGUAAAUGCAACAAAGCUAGGAGUAGAUUGGUAAAUAAAAUCAUUCUGUCUCUACCACAUUAAUUCUCCCUUCAUCCUUUGGAGGUCCUGCAAACUGUACCAGUGCAUCAUUUAAAUGGUACCUUCAGGUGUUUCACUGAGACAUAAUUAAAAUUGAUGUUGUCAUCUGGCGUUUCCUUGUGCAAUUUGUCUAACUCCUUGCAAAUGGUAAAACAAAGCUCUUCAUUAUGACUUUGUCUUUCUUCAAGAAACUACCCAAGAUUUUCUUGAUGUGCUCUGAAAACUGGCCAACUGAAAGAGAACUUAAGACUCCCUACAGGGAUUUCCUUAGCAAUAUAUCCAAGUGGUUCAUUUGACUGGACCUGUCAUGACCGGCAAGUUAGUAUCCCCAAGACAUUUCACUGAAUUGUUAAAAAGCACUAAUUAAUUUUUUAAAAACUUUCCCUAUAUCCUUACAUUUAUUUACUUCCCCAAACGAUAUGUAUGUAUCAGGCUCAUACUAUGUUAGAAAUAAGUUAGAAAUACAGUUAGAAAUAAGGCUAUAAUAGCUUGCAAGCUCCCAUCCAUUAGUAGAGCUCAUGGUACAGUAGGAAGGCAGACAUGAAACUAGUAAUUAACAGUAACACGUGAGGAGCACAUAAAGAGGAAGUAACUGGUGAUGUGGAUUUAACCUGCAGGUCAGGAAGGUCACCCUCCCUGAGGAAGUGAGUUCAAGAAACCUCCUGAAGGAUGCUGAGUGGGGAUGGGGCUGAGGAACAGAACAAGUCAAGGGAGAGAUAUGGGCUGUAGAUCUUUGGAAAUAAAAGAGUGAAGCCCUUUCUUUCUGUUUUUCAUACAUUGGUCCAAGUUUUGCCUUUAGUUUCACAUACACUUAGACUACUUGUUCCCCUCUAGAAGACCACUAAUUAGAUUUAUGUUCUACUAUUUUUAUUUCUUUUGUGCUUCUUUAGAAUAUAAUGAUUUAAGAAUGAGAACUCAUAUUCAUUGAACACAUACUUCUCACCUAGCCCCCUGAAUUCUCACAAAAUCUUUUAUUCACAUUUGAGGGAAACUAGAGAUCAGGUUACCCAGUGAGACAAUUACUGAGCUAGAAUUCAAAGCCGCAUGUGAGAUGGCAAUGUUCAAAUACAAGAUUUUAACCAGUUUACUGGUGUUUCUUCACGUUUAGAUCUUACCAGUUAUUUAAUCAAAAUGAUAAGGGUGGUGUCAUGGAGGAGGUGUUAAAAAGACUCCCUGGAGCUCAUUUAGCUGUUUUGAGUCUGAAUUUCUGAGGAUGUGGUCUUCGAAUUUGCAUUUUAACAAGUUCCCCAGGUGCCUCCCAUGCAUUUGAGAACCACUGAACUUCAUCCCAGUUCCAGGCACCAAGUAAGAGAGAAGGGGGUGGAGUGGAAAGGGAGGGAAGGAGGGAGAGAAAGGAGGCAGAGAGACCACUGAUGAUGCACUUUACUAUAUUCUUGUCCGUGUUCUUAGAGUACUCUUCUGCCUAUUUGGUGAAAUGCUGCAAUGCAGAAUGGUUAUGAUUUUCAAACUGCAAAUCACUUAGCCUCAUGCAUUGGCAAGAUGUCUCGGCAAGGCACAGAGAGCUGCUUAUUCAGGCUUCAGCCAAGCUGUGAAAAGUGAGGCUUUUUCAGAGGAAGUGAGAUAAGACAAAAACUUAUGAAAACAAACAUCCUGAGGCUGGUGUUCAAAAGGCCACUGGCAAAAUCUAUAGUCUAAUGUGAAGUGAGCUAAACAAACACAUUACUGGGCCAUCCAGGAAACGUGAAGCAGAUGCCUGGAAGUGGGAUGUGUGUUUUCAACCUGGGUAGAAAUAUCCUGGGGAGUGAUGAUACGGAAUCAGACACAAAGUUCAGAUAAAAACAACAAGGGGGAUUUGCAACAGGCAGUGUCUCCGGAAUGGACAGGAGGCUCUUGUCAAAGAGGUUCAGAGCAAGUUCAGGGAAGGUGGGAGAUGGGUGCUCCAAUCUCACUUAAAGUUGCAUGACCCAGUUUUCUCCCAAUCCUGGCAUUACCUAAGGGCAGCUAGUUAAGGAAGGAGUGAUGGCGGAGACCCGCUGGCCCCGGCCAAAGUAUUAGAGCUUCUGCUACUGAAAAGAUUAUGGUGCUGCCUAGCCCCUCCUAUUAUGUACUUUAAAAUAAGAACAAUACCAAUUCAAAAUGUGAACAAAGGUAGUUCAGCAACAUUCCAAGUUUCCCUCUGAGACUAAUUCAAUGCUUUCUGAGAAAUACAAAACAGCAUUUUCUGGCAAAAAAAAAAAAAA